UACGUAGGGUGCAAGCGUUGUCCGGAAUUAUUGGGCGUAAAGAGCUUGUAGGCGGUUUGUCGCGUCUGCUGUGAAAUUUCGGGGCUCAACCCCGAACUUGCAGUGGGUACGGGCAGACUAGAGUGAUGUAGGGGAGACUGGAAUUCCUGGUGUAGCGGUGAAAUGCGCAGAUAUCAGGAGGAACACCGAUAGCGAAGGCAGGUCUCUGGGCAUUAACUGACGCUGAGGAGCGAAAGCAUGGGGAGCGAACAGG
rnacentral:rRNA from 1 species